rnacentral:rRNA from 1 species
AUUGAACGCUGGCGGCAGGCCUAACACAUGCAAGUCGAGCGGAUGAAGGGAGCUUGCUCCUGGAUUCAGCGGCGGACGGGCGAGUAAUGCCUAGGAAUCUGCCUGGUAGUGGGGGAUAACGUCCGGACACGGGCGCUAAUACCGCAUACGUCCUGAGGGAGUAAGUGGGGGAUCUUCGGACCUCACGCUAUCAGACGAGCCUAGGUCGGAUUAGCUAGUUGGUGGGGUAAAGGCCUACCAAGGCGACGAUCCGUAACUGGUCUGAGAGGAUGAUCAGUCACACUGGAACUGAGACACGGUCCAGACUCCUACGGGAGGCAGCAGUGGGGAAUAUUGGACAAAGGGCGAAAGCCUGAUCCAGCCAUGCCGCGUGUGUGAAGAAGGUCUUCGGAUUGUAAAGCACUUUAAGUUGGGAGGAAGGGCAGUAAGUUAAUACCUUGCUGUUUUGACGUUACCAACAGAAUAAGCACCGGCUAACUUCGUG